UCUUUUUUGAAUAAAGAAAAAGAAAAAAAAAGUUACCAUUUAAUAAUUAAGAAUAAUAUAUAUGAGUCCGACUGGAAUAUUAUCGAUAGCACCAAGCAUUUUGUGCUAUCAAAUUUUCCACCGUUAGAUUUAAUUUUUUGAUUAUUUUUAUUCGUUAAAUUAUACUAUUAAACUAAUAAUUUACUCAAGCCUAGAAGACCCACAUCAUUCUAACCGUAUAUUUUUUUAUUCAAAGACUGAAAACCUAAUAGCAUCAAUAACUUGUGUUAUUAAUAGUGUUCCAACCUAGUUAUAAUAUACAUAUAUUAGAAAAAAAAAUUGAGAGAAUAAAAAAGUUUAUACUUAAGAAAAAGAAAAGAAU
rnacentral:lncRNA from 1 species